rnacentral:rRNA from 1 species
UACGGAGGGUGCGAGCGUUAUCCGGAAUCACUGGGUUUAAAGGGAGCGUAGGCGGCUCGGUAAGUCAGUUGUGAAAGCCCCUUGCUUAACGAGGGAGGUGCGAUUGAUACUGUCGAGUUUGAAUCGGGAUGAGGCAGUCGGAAUUUGGCAUGUAGCGGUGAAGUGCAUAGCUAUGCCAUAUAACACCGAUUGCGAAGGCAGCCUGCUGGGCCUGUAUUGACGCUGAGGCACGAAAGCGUGGGGAGCAAACAGG